rnacentral:lncRNA from 1 species
GAAGUAUAUAUAAGUUUGGGAGUUUGGCUGGUAUGUUUAUGGAAGCACGGAGUUCUCUGUACUUCCAAGUUGUUUUUGAUGUUCGGACUUUCGAAUCGACGAUCGCUUUAUUAGAGUUGAUCUAGAGUAUUUGAAAUACCUAGAAAAUAAAUUUUGUAAUUUUUCGAUACCAUUUGUCUAGUGAUCGAAGAGGCUCAAAAUUAAUAAUUUUAAUGACCGUGAUGAGCCGGUUGCAAGUUUAAUGGUGUAGAAAUAUCUAAAUCACGUGAAAUUUUAAUAGAAAAUUCUUAAUACUAUAUAAAAUAAGAUCAAUAUCUUUGAUCUAAAUUUUUAAUGUCAUAUCAUUACAUUUUGUGAGAUUAUUAUUUUCAGCCGUUGAUUUUGAGCCUCUUCGAUCACUCGGCAAAUGAUAUCAAAAAAUCACAAAAUUUAUUUUUUAUAUACUUCAAAUACUCUAGAUCAAGUCUAACGGAGCCGAUCGUCGAUUCGAAAGUCCGAACAUCGAAAACAAAGUGGAAGCACGAAGCCCUCCGUGCUUCUAUAAGCAUCCUAGCCGCACUCUAAGUUUGGAUAAGAUAAAAUUAUAAUGAUUUUAUUUUCUUAAUAAA